rnacentral:lncRNA from 1 species
AAAGGUGGACUCAAUCUAGGUUUGAUGCCAGUGGUUAAAGGAUAUAAGUUUGUAGUUGGGAUGAAAGAGAAUAAUGAAGCUAUGAGAAGCGUCGGGAAGCUAAGGUUUAAGUAGAAAGGUGAAGUAGUAGAGUAGGCCAAGCCGAUCACAAUCAGAUGAAAAGGAAGCUGUGUGUGUUGUUACAAGUUCUAUACCAUGCAAAAGAGAGAUCCAAUUCCUUACUUUUUGUCACUUCAAGUUGAGUUCGGUAAAAGGGAAGCCAAGUCCCAGUAAGAUUAUGAAUAUAGAGGGAUAGGGAUGCAGUGUUAGGUUUACAAAUAUCUAUCUUGGUAGGCGUUAUCAAAUACUCUUUCCUUAAAGUGGAGUUUGCCGUUACGUGUUGAGCCUGCAAAGAAAAGAGCCCGCAAUUCAACAAAGUAAGGAAAGGAAACCGAAUGCUCAUCUCUACACGCAGCGGAAAAGUAGAAAAUGUCAUCGUAUCAUACUCAGAAGAAGAGUCAAAAGCAUAAAAAGGAAAGUCAACUCGAUAAUCAGCAUCAGCAGGAUCGAGAUCUGUUAAUCAAAAGUAAGCUUAAGCUGCAAGUUCAAUUACUGGUUUGUGUGACUGGUUUACUUGACCAACUAUAUGGAUAUAUAAUAUAAUAAAUGGUAAGUUCAUUCUUUGGCUUGUUCGGGUGUUCAAGCAAUAUCAUAAGCUGUAUACAAUCAGUCAACUGCUAUCGGGUCUUCAAGUAGAGAGUCGUCGGGAGUCAGCUCAUCAAUUGCAUUCUGAACGUUAAGUAAAGUGGAGGUGGGCAAGUCGGAAACUCAGAAUGCACCUCACUCGUCCAAGACCACAACCCACUGCUGCUCGGUAUUGGACUGAUGCCGGGUAGUAUCGGAAUGGCGCUGGUGCGGGGUAGAAUGAAAUCCGUGCAUCUAAGACUAAAGCUACUCCUACUCGGAAUGGAGCUGGUCAGUCAAAGGCUUCAACAGUCAAUAGGGGUAUCGGAAUGGAGCUAAUACCAUCGAGAAUGAGGCUAAGGAGUUACAGAAUAGAACUGGUGUUGCUCAGAAGGGAGCUAGUGCAUCUCAGCCUGAUGUUGUGUCUAGUAAGACCGAUGCUAGUGCUUAAGAAUGAUACUACUAACUACUACUAAGAAUGGAGUCUAUCCAAUAGGGGUUUUCUAGAGGAUUUGUCACAGGAGAGGAAGAGGUUGAACUUGUAGCAGUUGCUUGCUUGUCCUGUACCGGAGAGUUUGCACAAGUGAAAUGUUAGAGUGAAAUGUCUACGCCGAUAGUGAUCCUCAAUGAGUGUUUGCCUAUGAUUAUCAAUGAGUGUUUGCCUAUGAUUAGCUUCAGAAGUACUAUCCGUAGCCCCAAGAAACCAGACUUGGAGUUCUUCACUGACCCUUUGACUCUAUACUUUCUUUAAGAAUCAAUUUCAUUGAAUGCACCUGAUAUAGCAAAGAAGAAAUACUAUCUGACUAGCUUUGAAGCGAGGGCAGCUUUAUAGAUGCCUUUGGUUUUAUUGCUUAACACUUAGUUGCUUGUUGGAUGAAACGGAGGCAAGGCUAAGUAGAGUAAGUGGUCUUUUUGGCGUUAGGAGUGGAGUGGGUGCAGUGUCGUUCUGACCCUAGUUUUGUUCUUUACCCUAGUUUUGUUCUUCUACGUUCUUUUUCUGUUCGCCUAGUUGUUUCAUCUUAUAAAUAAGUCGGUAACUAGAGAAGAAAGAAGCUGUGAAGCGAGAGAAUCCGCAGUGUGAGUGAAAGGAACUUCAAGUCGAGGAAAUUCUGGAUUAUUUGAAUUUUCGAAUUUCUUUUCUUCCAAGUCAGUAAACUACCCGCGCAUCAAAGCUAGCACUCGAGCAGGACUCCUACUAGGCUAGGCACCACAAGACCCAACUAAUACAGAUGCAAAAAGCAAGUAAGUCAACUACCCGAGCCGCCAAGACACUCACUGAUUCCACUCGAACAGGGGCAGCGGACUUCACUCCUUCUUCCUUACCUAGCUUUCCGAUCCUUUACUUCAGUACUUCCACUCGUAUCUACUCUUUUGACUACUCCUACCUGGCUUUAAGGCUUCUCUUUGACUCACUGGUUUCGUUCUUUCCCUUAUUUGACUCACUGGUUUCACCCCGGUACUGCUUAGGUGCCGAACACAGGACUUGGUAAUAGCAACAAAUAAAUAUGCUCGAUGUUGUCUCUUAUUGUAGUUGUCUUCGGGUCUCACCCUGAUACUGCUUAGGGACAGUCUGAGUUUAAGUCGUUGUGCACUGGUUGAAGAAUGAGAAGCACCGGUUCGAUUCUAUCCCUCUGGAGCUCCAUUCCGAGCCUACCCCGUAUCUGUCUUGCUGGUACUGAUUUGAUUCUUGUCCUUCCUUGUUUCGUUCUUAGCCUCACUGGUUGGAUUCUUUGGCUACCCGGUAUCAGUCCCAUACUAGAGCGCUACAUACCUAGCAUAGUAGGGUGCAGUUCCAGCCGGGUUAGCUGUAGUUUGAGUCUGUUGGUGCCUAGUUAAAGUCUGGUUAGCCCUAGUUCUACUCUGUAACUCCCUGGUUUGGUUCUGAGUCUACCCAGCAUCGGACUUAGAAGCAUCAGUAUCAGGCUUGGAUUCAUGGGUUUCGGCCUGAUAUUGGUCAACUCUAUUCUAUCCCUCCGCCGCUCUAUUCUGAGUCUAUCAAUCUGGAAUCCUUAAUAAAGAUAGAUCAAAUGAACCGCCAAGACACUACUACAAAUCCAAAGAGAGUACAAAGUCGACAACUAUAUUAACUCUUUGACUACCUGGUUUCAUCCUAUCCCUUGCUAGCUCCCGAACACCCCUUACUAGCCCCGAACAGUGGUUGCAUUCCGUAAUUCCUGUUUCUAGCUGUGACUCCUUAGUUUUAUCUGUCAUCCUUAAUAAGAAGAGAUAGAAUUAUCCUAGAGUUUUCUCUACUGUUUGUCUACUGUGUCUGUACAUGAGAAAGAUCUAGACUUUUCUGGAUUCUUUAUGAUUUGUGAUUUGUAAAUUGAUUGGAUUUUCUUCCUUUUAUUCCACCCUAACUUUUCUUUUCUUCCUUUUAUUCCACAAGUCUACCCCACAAAGUAAGUAAACCUGCAUACCCUAGUAACAGAGCAAUUCCACAAGCCUACCAGCCAAGACAUGUAUGAUGUGUAACUAUUAGCUAGUCAAUUGAAGUAAGUGAAACACAAGCCUCCCCUACCCGAGUCACAGGCAAUUCUCCACUUCCCCGCAUCCAACCCUGGAACGACACUAUAAUUGCUUAAAACAAGCACCCGAACUACCCUUGUAAUAUCAUUAAAUAAGUGAACCGAUAUUUCGGAUGAUCGGUGCAUUUCACUCCUAAAAGCUGUCGGACAAUCAGUACGUUUUCGGAUGAUCGGUGCAUUUUCUUUACCUUACUUUGGAACUGGAACUGGGGAUUACACUCGAACAGGACUAGCUUGACUACCUCGACUCGCGGGCCAUUCUGUAACUCCGUAUUUCAAGACUAAUGGCCUGUGGAAACACUAGCACCCUUUACUAUACUUGCUGUAAACUGAACCUCGUCUCUUUGAACUCAAGCAACACCUUCUUUCUUUCCCACUCCUAUUGCUCCUACCCCUGGAAACUCCCUUAUCUUAUUCUGACUCUCUCUUGUAGCAUAUACACUCUUAGGCUCUUGCCUUCCAUUCCCGUUCUCUUGGUUGGGUCCGACACCCCUAGCUAUAAAACUAACGUUCCUUAAACUCUUUCUCGCUUAUUUGUAGGUUCUUCCGCUGACUUGCUCUCAUUCUUAAUAUAUUGACUUAUAGCCUAUGCUCCAGUGCCAGCAUGCCAUUCCCUCUUUCGUUCUUUGACUUGACAGCUCAACUCUCACCUUUCCCCUUUCACUAGUCCACUCCUUCUUAAAGUCUGCUUUUCCUUUUGAUUAGUCUAGUCUGUUAAUUCUUAUGGUAAUUCUGUAUUGAAAGUUGAUUCGUUUAUUUAUAUACUAUUGAUUGGCGGUUUAUUAGCGAAAAGUGGUUCAAAAGAAGCUAUUUCUUUCUGUUUUAUUGAUAGCUCUUUCUUGUGCGGGUGUGUAGAAAACUUCACUCUUAGAUUCAAAAAGGGAAGGGCGAUCCAAAGUAAGCUAAGGCAUCCCAUACCUCACUGUACAAAGUCAGAAUAGAACUGAUUGGUAUAAGCGUUAAAGGGGAAAGCAAGGGACACGUAGACAAGCAGAUAAGUAACUGUAGUAGUGAGUGACUUACAACUACUAGGUCGGUAGAGUGUCAAUGGAACCAGUUCCGUAGGGAGUUAAUAGCGGCAGUUUCACUGUUUAUUAGAGCAAGCAGUUGACUAAACCCUAAUCGUAUUCCGUUUGAUACCUUCUGGUUUCUCUUUUUAUUUGACUUGAAGUGAAACACAACCCGACCCCUACCCGCUGGCUAACAAGUAAGUAAACUACCCGACCCUAAAAGAUAGUACUCUCUGGAACUACCUUACCCUAGUGACCUUUAAACAGGACUUCCUCAUAACGAGUUAUAACCGCCGGACUUUUCAUCUUUAAUAACAGUUUCUGGCUUGUACACUAUGGAUGGCAACUAUUAACUUAAUGAGGCUCUCUUCUCUGGCUACUGAGUUUGGCUACUGAGUUGACCUAGAUGCAGAGAAGCAGACCGGUUAUUUGGCUACGCCGUUCCAUUCUUUUAUUCUACAUCAUGAGUUGGUCUCCUACUUUAUGACUUCUUAGUAUCAUUCUCACUUUCGAACAGGAACUAGCCCUGGACUCUUAUCUAAACCACUUGCUACUGGCUCAUCUCUUCUCUUUCUCCAAAGAAGCUCUUAACUACGAAACUACUUGUUGGCACAAUCACUCCCCUUUCCGACCUCAACUCGCCCUUACUUAAUUAAGGCUGCUCAUGACUCUGACUAUAUACUGAGUUUAGCUCCCGAAAGAAGAAAGGAGAGCCGAAUUGACUCACUCCUACUGUUGCUCAGCUCACAAGAACUACACUUUUUGAAUCGGCUUACUUUGACACAGCAUCCAUAUACGCUUCUCCCCUACCCGCCAAGUAAGUAAACCUGCCCACCCCUAGUAUACAGAAUUCCACAAGCCCAGCAUGCAACGGGAAGGAAAGCCUACCACUACUCGGUUAAGCCUCAGCCUUUGACUCCCUAGUUGACUCCGGUUUACUAUAUAAAGAAUAGCUUUUUUGAUAGUCCUUUUUCCCUACUAUGUCUGUACUGAAUAGAUACAUAAGAAAUUGUACGACUUUUCUGGUGAGACAGGCUAUUCUUACGGUGUUAAGUCAACUCCUCACUCCUGCUGACCACUCCUGUUCGGUGGUUUUUACCUUAAUUCUGCCCAUUCCAGAAAUGAAGUAUGUAGGGGUUGAUACCAGAAUUCUUCCCACUCCUCGAACGAUACCUUUCUAUCUCAUUUCUCCCACUCAUGUUCGAUACCUUUCUCUUUCCAUUUCAUCUCCCUUUCUAUGAUACCGAGUCGAACGAUACCUUUCUAUGAUACCGAGUCGAACGACACCUUUCUUUCUUAUCUCUCUUCUCCGAUACCGAGUCGAACGAUACCUUAUUUCUUUCUAUCUCAUCUCUCUUCCUUUCUAUCUCAUCUCUCUUCCCCGAUACCGAGUCAUCUAAGAAUGACACAAGCCUAGCCCACCCGCCAAGACACUCACUGAUUCCACUCGAACAGGAGCAAGCAGUACACAAGGGAUUCCACUCGCUAACUACAGGCUCGGCUCAUCUAACUCAAUUCAUUUCUUUGAUACCAGAAUGAGGCUCACAAACACAUAGCAAGUAGGAUUCUUAAAACACAUAGCAAGUAUCUCCGCCCCUAACUCUUUUAAGUGUGAACCCCGAACCGAACCUACAUCUUGAGUUUUAGCACCCGGAACUUCUUAUAGAGGCCUCGACCUAGAGCAGAGCGUAAGCACCAACCCUAGCUACUUUACCCGGUCUGAAACUAAGGUAUUUGAAUUAGAUACAAGGGGGGGGCGCAGGGCCCAAAACACAGGACAUAGGCACUUUCACUCAUAUGGUACUGCAGCCCGACCUCUCAUAACCAGACUUUAGAACCAGAACAGUACAACUACGCCACAGUACUACCGGUCUUAAGACUAUAACUCGAGCAGGACCUUCUAGU